UACGGAGGAUGCAAGCGUUAUCCGGAAUUAUUGGGCGUAAAGCGUCCGCAGGUGGUUAUCCAAGUCUGCUGUUAAAGCGCGAGGCUUAACUUCGUACAGGCAGUGGAAACUGGGUGACUGGAGUAUGGUAGGGGUAGCGGGAAUUCCCAGUGUAGCGGUGAAAUGCGUAGAGCUCGGGAAGAACAUCGGUGGCGAAAGCGCUCUGCUGGACUGCAACUGACACUCAGGGACGAAAGCUAGGGGAGCGAAUGGG
rnacentral:rRNA from 1 species